AAAACAAAUUCCUUGUAUGUGUAAACAUAAGUGGAAAUUAAGCUCAUUUUGAUUCUGAUUCAUUCUAAUUGGCAUUAUGCAUCAAUUGUAAACUCAGUCCAGUUUGACUGAGGCAGAUUUACUAACAUCUUUUGCCAUUGAAAAGCCUCUUUUGGUGUAAAAAAACAAACAAAACAAAAACCUAGUGUCAGGAUUUAGGGUGAAAAGGCAUGGACGCAGUUGUUUUUGCAACUGACAUCACUGCAUUUGUAUUUGUAGGAGUUUUCAUUUCCAUACGGACUAUCUAAUACGUUUUUCUGUUCUAAUUAUUUGUGUUAAUGUUGAUUUUUCUCUCAGAAUCUCUUCAGGGGAAUCAGAGGAGUAUUGCUGUUAUUUGCCUUGCUAGAGUUUAUCAUCUCCAUCUAUCUGGGAGCACUUGCCCGUAAAAGUAUCACCUGCAGUUCUCGUCCUCAGGUGCAGUUUGUUUCUCUACCACCAGAGCCCUCUGAUUUCAGGCCCUUUCAUUUCCAUGAUAUUCAAAGUUCAGAGAUACCUGUGGCCAGCAGCUCUUCCAUUCAUGGCCAACCUGCAGAUGAUCCUCCACAAUACAGUGAAAUAUGAAUUUAACACAUUUAACAUUUUCAUACACAAGAUUGUUUUCUUGUAUAAGCAAUAUUUUAUGU